CAAAUCAAGCAGUCUGCACUCAGCUUCCUCAAUGGUAAAAGGGAGAUGGUAAUUGUGUCUGCCUAUUGAGACUGUUAGGAGCAUUCAGCAAAGCAAAUCAGCAUGCAGAGAGGGCGUAUCACAGCUCCUGGGUGUGAAAAAUGCAGUAGAAGAGCCGGUUGUUAUUACAACUUUGGGAGAUCGUCGUCAGUCAGAGAAACACAGAGGGACCGCAUUAUGUAGACUAACAGGGUUCUGGGUACCUACUGUGUAAUCACGCUUUGGAUUCAGAAGUGAGCAAAAUAUUGCUGUAUUUCCAGAGUUUGGAAAUCAAUAAAGGCAAAAGACACAUAAACACAUACACUAUAAUACACGGUGAUACCAGAAGUAGGCUUGAGGGAUGAAAGGGAAAGGGAAUCCUCAUUAGAGGGGGGGUCUCUAAGUGACCCCUGAGUUGGACUUUGGAGGUGGAAGUUCAAGGCAUUGAAACCACUUUAAAGGCACAGACUCAUAAAACAACCAAUUUGAAUUUGCCAGGCGAAGUCUAUGAAAUGCUCGCUCGGGUAGAGCUGAUAGGCACACAAUCAUCACGUUGUCAAAUGGCUGCCUCGUUUGGUCCUCUCAACGCCAACAGUCCACUGAGGCAGAUAUUAGGGUCUUCAUUCACAGGAGCAGAGCACGAUCUGGGAAACAGUUGGCUUCGAAGACAGCUCACUCGGAGAAGAUUGGUGCCUCCUCACCACCAGCUGAUUUGAGGGGUGGUCUGGGACCGGUCCUCUUCCUUCUGACUGCUCUUGGAGCUGUAGCUCCAGAACAGCAGCUCUGCCACCUGGUGGUUCUGGGAGCCAAGUGUGCCCUCCUCCAGUCCCGUAGGCAUCAUCACAGUAGUGAGAGGGCUCGCAGGAGUUUGCCGUGAGGAGGCUAGAGGACAAAAUGUGAGAGUUGUUUCUCCUCCUCCAACCCGUGGGGGAGCAAACCCAGUUUGUCAAGCUUGGCAGCAGACACCUCUGCCUAUUGAGCCAGACUGGGGGCCCACUCUGAGGAAAGAAGAGCCAAUCUGGCAGAUGAAACCCAAACCAAAAUAAAACCAAAUAACUCUAGCUGGCUUCUUUCUGUGGCUUAUUUCUGAGCAUUUGUUUCACACGGAUGUAGGAAGACAGUUUUGUUCU
rnacentral:sRNA from 1 species